rnacentral:ncRNA from 2 species
AAUUGAAUAUAAGCGCCAGAACUUGCUUAUUUUUAAAUAAUUUUAUAUUGCAAAGUAAGUUGACGAGGUAGGAGUUUAUCGAAAAUUCGGCGGAUGCUCCUGGGUUGGCCAGAUCCUUAAAAAACCUACAAAACUUUCCAGUAAUGGCAAGGACAAAAAGGUUUUUAUGGUUAGGA